GUGCUGUCAUACAGAGAAUGCUCUUUCCAUCUUAGAUGCUGUCCUUGUGCAGUGACAAGAGAUCGCCUGGCUUCAAACUGCCAGCUCAAGUUUGGCAUCAGUUCAACCACCUGGGCUACAGAAGGUGGUCCUUGGAGCUCAGUUCCAAAGUCAGAAAAAAGCAGAUUCUGGUACCAACACCAGUUUACCAGGCCUUGCAGGAUCUGAGAAGAAACUCCUGCCAGGGGAUGUAGUACCACACAGAAGCUGAGGACAGGAACAGGGUAUCUGUGAGUCCAGUGACCAGUCUCUUGUGCAAAACAUAUUUUGGAUGAUGCUGCUGCACUCUUUCUGGAACUGUUACUCAAUGUAUUUAUUGUAUUUGCAGAACAUUUUACAAACAAGUGCCUUGUUCUGCCGCAGCUGCUGGCUCCAUCCUGUGAUCCAAGAGGAGUACAGGGCUGCACUUGCCAUUUGUAAAGGCCAAGCUGAUGGAAAACAUCCAGCUGCGGUUCAGAACACUGCGAGGAGCGCUGCAGCUCCGCCGGCAGCACCUGGUAGGCUUAGGAAGGACGCGGAGCCGGGCGCGCACACGGAGCUCGCUUCACGCCUGGUUAUUGAGUGCCACCCAGUGGGGGCUGCCUUAUCCGGGAACGGAGCUGGGAAUACACAGAUGCCUACAGGGUCAAAGCACACUGGGCUGGUAGAGCUUUUUGUUAUUGUUGCUUUGGUUUGGGUUUUUUGUUGUUGUUUUUGGAGGGGGGUUGCUAGUUAAAAAAAAAACAACUGAGGACUACUUAUUUUCAUAUGAAAUAUAUCAAAUAGAGUGUCUGCUAGCUGUUACUGUGCAAAGAUUCUGUUUGCAUUCAUCUGUGAUUUUGUCCAGUGAUUUCUAUUUUUGGGUUCAUUAUGGCCUUGUAAGCAGCCUUUUUAAACUAUGGGUAAUAAAGUAUUUCCACUUUAACCA
rnacentral:lncRNA from 1 species